UACGUAUGUCGCGAGCGUUAUCCGGAAUUAUUGGGCAUAAAGGGCAUCUAGGCGGCCUAACAAGUCAGGGGUGAAAACCUGCGGCUCAACCGCAGGCUUGCCUUUGAAACUGUAAGGCUGGAGUAUCGGAGAGGUGGACGGAACUGCACGAGUAGAGGUGAAAUUCGUAGAUAUGUGCAGGAAUGCCGAUGAUGAAGAUAGUUCACUGGACGGUAACUGACGCUGAAGUGCGAAAGCCGGGGGAGCAAACAGG
rnacentral:rRNA from 1 species